rnacentral:rRNA from 1 species
GUGGGGAAUUUUGGACAAUGGGCGCAAGCCUGAUCCAGCCAUGCCGCGUGUCUGAAGAAGGCCUUCGGGUUGUAAAGGACUUUUGUCAGGGAAGAAAGGGUUUGUGUUAAUACCAUGAACUUAUGACGGUACCUGAAGAAUAAGCACCGGCUAACUACGUGCCAGCAGCCGCGGUAAUACGUAGGGUGCGAGCGUUAAUCGGAAUUACUGGGCGUAAAGCGAGCGCAGACGGUUACUUAAGCAGGAUGUGAAAUCCCCGGGCUUAACCUGGGAACUGCGUUCUGAACUGGGUGACUAGAGUAUGUCAGAGGGGGGUAGAAUUCCACGUGUAGCAGUGAAAUGCGUAGAGAUGUGGAGGAAUACCGAUGGCGAAGGCAGCCCCCUGGGAUAAUACUGACGUUCAUGCUCGAAAGCGUGGGUAGCAAACAGGAUUAGAUACCCUAGUAGUCC